UUCUGGAGGUUUCUGAGUCCUGAGCUGCUGUUUCCUGUGUUUUUUUAUUCCAUAGAAAGUACUCCUGACCCAGAACUUCCUCGUUUAUCCGUACCUGAAACAGUGGAAACCGUGAGCCAUAAACUGUCCACAGAAGCAGCUUUACUCAGGCUGAACGACGCAUUUGAUCCCAGAGCGACGAAGGUAAAAAGGUUGCUGCGCUCGGAUUGCUCGAACAUGAGCGGAGUGAUUUAUGGGCCGGAACCGGGAUGUGGACUUCCACAGAAAUGCAGCGAAGUUCCUGACUCCUGAGGGAGACGCUUUGGGAUGUCUGAACGCUGCGUGAACCGCAAAAUUAAAAAAUAAGRAUAAAGAUGA